ACGCACGCUGGCGGCGUGCUUAACCCCUGCAAGUCGCACGCUGAAGCUCAGCUUUUGUUGGGUGGAUGAGUGGCGAACGGGUGAGUAACACGUGAGUAACCUGCCUCCUUCUUUGGGAUAACGCCCGGAAACGGGUGCUAAUACUGGAUAUUCACUGGUCUUCGCAUGGGGGUUGGUGGAAAGGGUUUUUCUGGUGGGGGAUGGGCUCGCGGCCUAUCAGCUUGUUGGUGGGGUGAUGGCCUACCAAGGCUUUGACGGGUAGCCGGCCUGAGAGGGUGACCGGUCACAUUGGGACUGAGAUACGGCCCAGACUCCUACGGGAGGCAGCAGUGGGGAAUAUUGCACAAUGGGCGCAAGCCUGAUGCAGCGACGCCGCGUGAGGGAUGGAGGCCUUCGGGUUGUGAACCUCUUUCGCUCAUGGUCAAGCCGCAACAAUGGUUGUGGUGAGGGUAGUGGGUAAAGAAGCGCCGGCUAACUACGUG
rnacentral:rRNA from 1 species